rnacentral:rRNA from 1 species
UUGGAAACGACUGCUAAUACCGCAUAAUGUCUACGGACCAAAGGGGGCUUCGGCUCUCGCCUUUAGAUUGGCCCAAGUGGGAUUAGCUAGUUGGUGAGGUAAUGGCUCACCAAGGCGACGAUCCCUAGCUGGUUUGAGAGGAUGAUCAGCCACACUGGGACUGAGACACGGCCCAGACUCCUACGGGAGGCAGCAGUGGGGAAUAUUGCACAAUGGGCGCAAGCCUGAUGCAGCCAUGCCGCGUGUGUGAAGAAGGCCUUCGGGUUGUAAAGCACUUUCAGUCAGGAGGAAAGCGUGGUGGUUAAUACCCAUCAUGUGUGACGUUACUGACAGAAGAAGCACCGGCUAACUCCGUGCCAGCAGCCGCGGUAAUACGGAGGGUGCGAGCGUUAAUCGGAAUUACUGGGCGUAAAGCGUACGCA